rnacentral:rRNA from 1 species
UACGAAGGGGGCUAGCGUUGUUCGGAAUCACUGGGCGUAAAGGGCGCGUAGGCGGCCGAUCAAGUCGGGGGUGAAAGCCUGUGGCUCAACCACAGAAUUGCCUUCGAUACUGUUUGGCUUGAGACCGGAAGAGGUUAGUGGAACUGCGGGUGUAGAGGUGAAAUUCGUAGAUAUUCGCAAGAACACCAGUGGCGAAGGCGGCUGACUGGUCCGGUUCUGACGCUGAGGCGCGAAAGCGUGGGGAGCAAACAGG